UGCCACUUGUAUGGACCACAUAGA
rnacentral:siRNA from 1 species